rnacentral:rRNA from 1 species
UACCAGCACCCCGAGUGGUCGGGACGUUUAUUGGGCCUAAAGCAUCCGUAGCCGGUUCUACAAGUCUUCCGUUAAAUCCACCUGCUUAACAGAUGGGCUGCGGAAGAUACUAUAGAGCUAGGAGGCGGGAGAGGCAAGCGGUACUCGAUGGGUAGGGGUAAAAUCCGUUGAUCCAUUGAAGACCACCAGUGGCGAAGGCGGCUGCCAGAACGCGCUCGACGGUGAGGGAUGAAAAGCUGGGGG